AUAUUGUAUAUUUUAAGAUACGAAAUGUCUUAUUCCUUUGGCAACAAAGCGAGAAACCCAGGGGGGACUAACUUUCCUGAAAAUAAAUAAUACGCAUCACCAC